GGGUGACGAGUGGCGGACGGGUGAGUAAUGUCUGGGGAUCUGCCCGAUAGAGGGGGAUAACCACUGGAAACGGUGGCUAAUACCGCAUAACGUCGCAAGACCAAAGAGGGGGACCUUCGGGCCUCUCACUAUCGGAUGAACCCAGAUGGGAUUAGCUAGUAGGCGGGGUAAUGGCCCACCUAGGCGACGAUCCCUAGCUGGUCUGAGAGGAUGACCAGCCACACUGGAACUGAGACACGGUCCAGACUCCUACGGGAGGCAGCAGUGGGGAAUAUUGCACAAUGGGCGCAAGCCUGAUGCAGCCAUGCCGCGUGUAUGAAGAAGGCCUUCGGGUUGUAAAGUACUUUCAGCGGGGAGGAAGGCGAUGAGGUUAAUAACCCUGUCGAUUGACGUUACCCGCAGAAGAAGCACCGGCUAACUCCGUGCCAGCAGCCGCGGUAAUACGGAGGGUGCAAGCGUUAAUCGGAAUUACUGGGCGUAAAGCGCACGCAGGCGGUCUGUUAAGUCAGAUGUGAAAUCCCCGGGCUUAACCUGGGAACUGCAUUUGAAACUGGCAGGCUUGAGUCUUGUAGAGGGGGGUAGAAUUCCAGGUGUAGCGGUGAAAUGCGUAGAGAUCUGGAGGAAUACCGGUGGCGAAGGCGGCCCCCUGGACAAAGACUGACGCUCAGGUGCG
rnacentral:rRNA from 1 species